ensembl:miRNA
AGCAGGGCACUGGGAGGGACUGAGAUGCAUGCAGGGACAUUGGGAGGGGACAGAUUGAAAGCACUGGGCCCAAUGAUGUCUCUGAGGGGGUCCUGGGUGUGCUGAGGGGG